AAUGAACGCUGGCGGCAUGCCUAACACAUGCAAGUCGAACGAAGGCUUCGGCCUUAGUGGCGCACGGGUGCGUAACGCGUGGGAAUCUGCCCCUUGGUUCGGAAUAACAGUUAGAAAUGACUGCUAAUACCGGAUGAUGACGUAAGUCCAAAGAUUUAUCGCCGAGGGAUGAGCCCGCGUAGGAUUAGCUAGUUGGUGUGGUAAGAGCGCACCAAGGCGACGAUCCUUAGCUGGUCUGAGAGGAUGAUCAGCCACACUGGGACUGAGACACGGCACAGCCUCCUCCGGGAGGAAGCAGUGGGGAAUAUUGGACAAUGGGCGAAAGACUGAUCCAGCAAUGCCGCGUGAGUGAUGAAGGCCUUAGGGUUGUAAAGCUCUUUUACCCGGGAUGAUAAUGACAGUACCGGGAGAAUAAGCUCCGGCUAACUCCGUGCCAGCCGCCGCCGUAA
rnacentral:rRNA from 1 species